UACGUAGGGUGCAAGCGUUGUCCGGAAUUAUUGGGCGUAAAGAGCUCGUAGGCGGUCUGUUGCGUCGGCUGUGAAAACCCGGGGCUCAACCCCGGGCCUGCAGCCGAUACGGGCAGACUAGAGUUCGGCAGGGGAGACUGGAAUUCCUGGUGUAGCGGUGAAAUGCGCAGAUAUCAGGAGGAACACCGGUGGCGAAGGCGGGUCUCUGGGCCGAUACUGACGCUGAGGAGCGAAAAGCGUGGGGAGCGAACAGG
rnacentral:rRNA from 1 species